GAUGAAGAACGUAGCGAAAUGCGAUAAGUAAUGUGAAUUGCAGAAUUCAGUGAAUCAUCGAAUCUUUGAACGCACAUUGCGCCCCUUGGAAUUCCGAGGGGCAUGCCUGUUCGAGCGUCAUAUUAACCACUCCCGCUUGCGGGGUCUUGGGCUUCGCCUCCGGGCGGGCCUUAAAAUCAGUGGCGGUGCCGUCGGGCUCUACGCGUAGUAAAUUUUCUCGCGAUAGGGUCCCGGUGGAUGCUUGCCAACAACCCCCAACUUCUUAAGGUUGACCUCGGAUCAGGUAGGGAUACCCGCUGAACUUAAGCAUAUCAAUAAGCGGAGGA
rnacentral:misc_RNA from 1 species